rnacentral:misc_RNA from 1 species
ACGAGUUUGUUCGGUGAUUCGAACUUCUCCCACCCAUUGAUACAACACUUGUUGCUUCGGCGAGUCGCUUCAGUGCCACCUGUAAUGGGUGUGUACUCGCCGAAGGUUUUAAACACGAAUCUUUGUAGUCUGUUUUUAAAAUGAAAAUUUAAUGA